UACGAAGGUGGCAAGCGUUACUCGGAAUUACUAGGCGUAAAGGGCAGGUAGGUGGUUCGAUAAGUCUGUUGUGGAAGCUCCCGGCUUAACUGGGAGAGGCCAACGGAAACUAUCGGACUUGAGUGUAGGAGAGGGGUAUUGGAAUUCCCGGUGUAGCGGUGAAAAUGCGCAGAGAUCGGGAGGAACACCAAUGGCGAAAGCAGAUACCUGGACUAUUACUGACACUAAGCUGCGAAAGCUAGGGGAGCAAACAGG
rnacentral:rRNA from 1 species